CGAGUCAUCUCCUCCUAGUUCUUUCUGGAGUCUUGGGCACCUGGCUGUAGCGGACGUGGGGAGGGCCCAGAUCCCUUCGCAGGUGAUGGGAGGCCGUCGCGUCCCGGAGAGGCUGCAGCCUCCUGCGCUAUCCGCAAGAGCCGUGUCUGGUUUUCCCGCCCCAAAGCAGGGACCGGUCACCGACCCUUGGCCCUGAGUAGCCCCUUGGGGAUUCCAAGAGGCCAUCAGCUUUGCAGUGCUUGGAAGAUGAACUUUGAGUGGAUCAUGAGUCGGCCUUGGAGAGUGGUAGAGAAAGGUAUGGGGAUUUGG
rnacentral:lncRNA from 12 species